rnacentral:lncRNA from 1 species
GUUCGUCCUGCGCGGUGUUUCGCCGGCCUCUGUAGUUGCCGGGACCGGAGAGUCGCCGGGAGAAGGCCAGAGCCCAGCAGUGGAUUCCAGGAAGGAGGCCUUGGAAGAGUGUUCGGUUCUUAACCCUGACUAAGCGUUUGAAUCACCUGGGAAGCCACUAAAAUAGAUUCCCGGGCCCCGCCCCUUCAGAGUCAGAUCCAGUCCCUUUGGGUACUGGGAAGUAUACUGAGGCAAGCAUCUCUGCCCUCAUGGAACUUGUAUUUCAAGAAGAAGAGAACUAUCAGAUAUAGGAGGCAAGUUAUAUGAUAAUUAAAAGCCAAGGGGAAGAGGGGCCAGGGAUUUAGCUAAGUGGUGCUGCCGCCUGCCUCGAAAGCACAGUCCUGAGUUGGAUCCCUGGUACCACACACACACACACACACACACACACACACACACACACAGUUAAAGCGGAGAAAGCAGAUAAAAAAGAAACUGCUGGCUGUGGGAAGGAAGGUGUAAUUGUAACUUAAUCAGAGCAGUUCUCUUUGAGGGGAUUAUCUUUGGCAAAAAAAGCCAUGACGGAGGAGAGAGUAAGUUCAGUGGAGAUUUGAGGUUCUUGUACUUCAGGUGGAUUGAACAGCACUUAACAAAAGUCCAGAGGUGGGAGAGUUGGGUGCAUUUGAGGAACAGUAAGGAAGUCACUGUCUGAAGUAGAUCCAAAAGAGGGAGGGAACUAGGGGCUACAUUCAGAAAGGAAACAGGGCCAGGCGCCAUAGGGUUUUGUGGGCUGUUGUAAUGACUUUGGUUUUCACUCUGAGUAAAAUGGAGGCUAUCAGAGAGUGUGUUAAACUGGACUAGGGGCAGAGAAGUGACAUUAUUACCAUAUGUACUGGGCUCAUGUUCUCACAACAUUGAGGAAUAAAACUGGAAAUCUGGAGAAUUUUAUUGGAAUAAUAAUAAGAAGAAUAGCUCUGGGAUUUCCAAAAGGUGUCCUGAGUGGGUGGCCACAUGGCCCCUGGAGCCAGAGUAAUUAUAGAUAAGCAGAGCACAAGAACUGCUCAGUUGUUUAAUGACCACCUAUCACAGGUGACUCUGGAUUUAAAAUGACCAGUUGGAACUCAGGCUCUCUAACCCAAUUCCUCAGCAUGCAGGAUUUUAAAGGAAAUGGGGAUUUUAGAGAGAAACUGGCUACGGUAUUUUGCAUUUUAAGUUCCUCAGCACUCCAGCUCAGUAGGGAGUGGGGUGUAUUCCCAGUUGCCCAAGGAAGUUCAUUGUAUUUUAAAUUCCUCAAAACUCAGGAGCUUAGUAAGAAGGCUGGACCUCCCUUUAGUGGGGGGGGGGGGUGGAUUCCAUGUUGCCUGAGGAAGUUCAUCCUUGGUCCAAAGUCCUAGGUCACUGUCUAUUCUUAUUUCAAUUCCCAUCAAUAUGGCUGAUUACCUGACCUCUAACUCAGGCCCUUCCCCUAGCUAGCUGCCUCAAUCAUAGGCCAACUACAUAAACUAUUCUUUAUAACAUGCUAUGGCUUUUCUUUUAAAAGGAUUCUGAGUGGUGUGCUGAGAAUGGGCUAUGGGAAGAGGUGCAGGGAUAGAAGGCAGGAGGUUCAAUUAAUAGGCUGUUAUAGCAAACAAGUGAGAGAUGAUGGUGCCUUAGACUUGGGUUGUUGCACUGGAAUUGAUAGGAGGUGCUGGGACUCUGGUUAUAUUCUGAAGAUAGAAUCAGUGAGGUUCUGAAUAUGAGGGUGUAAGACCGAGGGCCUUACCAAACGCUCCGAGGAGCUGAAGUGGAGCACACCCGGGGAUCCCAGCGGUGCCUCCAGAAUGUAAGACCAAAGGCCUUACCAAAUGC